rnacentral:lncRNA from 1 species
UGUUGAUAGAGGCUGCAGAGCUACUGGGGUCCCAGCAGUGCCUCCAGGUCUUGUGGCCAGAGACCUGGCAGAUGAUUGUGUUUGCCAGAGCUGGUGGUGUAUGUUCACUUGGCUCCACGGUCUUAGCUGCAUAUGCUUAUGUAAUGGCAGAGGAUGGUUGCAACCACAUAUGCAGACAUCUCCAAAGGAAAUGCACUAUGUCAGAAGGGCCCUUUCUAAUGCUUCACCUCUCCAAUGCUUGAUUUUCCAAAGAGAGUAACUGUGCUAGGAGUAACUAAAGGAAGAUCUCAAGAAUCUUAAGUUUCAAAUAACAUUUGAUAUUUCACACUCAUAUGCAAAGUGGUAAAUUGCCAG